CCAAUAGCGUAUAUUAAAGUUGUUGCAGUUAAAAAGCUCGUAGUUGAAUUUCGGGAUCAAGGGAUCGGUCAUGCCUUGGUAUGUACUGGUUUUAUUGGUUCUCACCUUCUAAAGAACCAUAAUGUCAUUUAUUUGAUGUUAUGGGGAAUUAGGACUGUUACCUUGAAAAAAUUAGAGUGUUUAAAGCAAGCUUACGCUUGAAUACAUUAGCAUGGAAUAAUGAAAUAGGACAUCAGAUUCUAUUUUGUUGGUUUCUAGGAUCGAUGUAAUGAUUAAUAGGGAUAGUUGGGGGCAUUAGUAGUAAAUUGUCAGAGGUGAAAAUCUUGGAUUUAUUGAAGACUAACUACUGCGAAAGCAUUUGCCAAGGAUGUUUUCAUUAAUCAAGAACGAAAGUUAGGGGAUGGAAGACGAUCAGAUACCGUCGUAGUCUUAACCAUAAACUAUGCCGACUAGGGAUCGGAUGAUGUUAAUUUUUUAAUGACUCAUUCGGCACCUUACG
rnacentral:misc_RNA from 1 species